UAAGGAAUUUUCGGCAAUGGGGGAAACCCUGACCGAGCAACGCCGCGUGAGUGAUGAAGGUCUUCGGAUUGUAAAGCUCUGUUGUCAGGGACGAACGGUAUUCCUAGGAAAUGAGGAGUAUUUGACAGUACCUGGCCAGAAAGCCACGGCUAACUACGUGCCAGCAGCCGCGGUAAUACGUAGGUGGCAAGCGUUAUCCGGAAUUAUUGGGCGUAAAGAGUGAGCAGGCGGCAGUUUAAGUCUGGAGUGAAAGCGUGAAGCUCAACUUCAUACAGCUUCAGAAACUGAACAGCUAGAGUACGGGAGAAGUAAGUGGAACUCCAUGUGUAGCGGUGAAAUGCGUAGAUAUAUGGAAGAACACCAGUGGCGAAGGCGACUUACUAGCCCGAGACUGACGCUCAGUCACGAAAGCGUGGGUAGCAAAUA
rnacentral:rRNA from 1 species